ACCUACGGGAGGCAGCAGUGAGGAAUAUUGGUCAAUGGGAGGAAUCCUGAACCAGCCAUGCCGCGUGCAGGACGACGGCUCUACGAGUUGUAAACUGCUUUUGUACCGGGGUAAAAUGCCUUACGAGUAGGGUUUUGAAAGUACGGUACGAAUAAGGAUCGGCUAACUCCGUGCCAGCAGCCGCGGUAAUACGUAUGGUGCAAGCGUUAUCCGGAUUUACUGGGUGUAAAGGGAGCGCAGGCGGCGCGUUAAGCCUGGUGUGAAAGCCCGCGGCCCAACCGCGGGACUGCAUUGGGAACUGGCGC
rnacentral:rRNA from 1 species